UGAAGUGUAGAUGACAGAAGAGUAGCGCAGAAGCUCUGGUAGCUGGAUGACCACGUGACUCUGAUGUGCGUCCUCCCCACCCAUGUUGGUCACAGUCACCUCCAAGGCGACGUCCUUACCGGAGGGCGUGAUGGCCGCAACACCGUCCUCUCUAAAGACCACUCAAAGAGGUUGAGUACGGGAGCGGCGUCAUGAAGACUUGACCUCGUCGCUUCGCUGGAGCUUGUGAGAGAGCGACUUACAGACACAGUGAUGCUGUGCAGUCUGUCUCUGAUAUCCCGCUGCAACCAAACACUUCUGGGUCAACACAACUGAACUACACAGUACCAUACGUAUUAUUUCAGAUUUAAAACUCAGUUUGCUGACAAACCGACCCAUCGCUGUUGAGAUCCACCACAGCCACGUCGUAUCCGAAGGAGGAGGCCAGCCCAGGACCGGAGAGGACCAACUCUACAGACAAACUUCUCGUGGCUGAACGGUCCGCUUUAAGAAAGGUCACCUGACCGCUGUAACCUCCUCUGGGCGCUCCUGAUACGACGGUAGCUAUUUCUUCGGAGAGGAAUGAGUCUGGAGUCAAAGCGGUCGAUGUCCCCGGUUUCUCGGGUGUCCUCACUGGAGAUGUCCAAGUUGUCCAACAGCUCCAUCCGCACGAGUCCUUUUGAAAGAACCCACGGAAACUUAACCCUCAGGGAAAUACAUCCAUCAAUUGCAUUGGAGCAGUGCCACAGAGUUAAGAGUGUAUCACAAUUGUAUAAGCGUCAGUAUUGUUUUCAAAAUUUUUUGCUCAAAUUUCUCAAUUUGAUCUAAUUAUGUCAGUUUUAUUUUAUUUUGAAAGAUUUAUAUAAAAUGAGUUUUCAGUGAGUAUGCAUUAGAUUGGUAAUAAAACAAAUUUUGAUGCUGUCAUGAUCCGUGGUCCGGGUCAUGUUUUUGUUAUGUUCUGUUAGUUUUGGACUGCACUAGUUCCUGUUUUUUGUGCACUCUCGUUUGUUUUGGUUGCCAUGGUUGCGUAUUAGUUUCACCUGCCUCUUGUGUUCGGGACGCUCACCUGGCUCUAAUCAUGAGACAUUAUUUAAGCCUGCCUUUGCGAGUCA